GCGUUAUCCGGAUUCACUGGGUUUAAAGGGUGCGUAGGUGGGUCUGUAAGUCAGUGGUGAAAUCUCCAAGCUUAACUUGGAAACUGCCGUUGAUACUAUAGAUCUUGAAUGUUGUGGAGGUGAGCGGAAUAUGUCAUGUAGCGGUGAAAUGCUUAGAUAUGACAUAGAACACCAAUUGCGAAGGCAGCUCACUACACAAAUAUUGACACUGAGGCACGAAAGCGUG
rnacentral:rRNA from 1 species